rnacentral:lncRNA from 1 species
CAAGGAAGAUACUCGUUAUAGAGCCCAGAGUCUUAUAUGGCAAAAUUAACUGUCAUUUUUGUAUAAAGACAUUUUAAGAAGGUUGAAUUUAAGUGCUCAUAGGAUAACAUUUCCUUCUAAGUAAAUUACCAACUAUAGCAACUUAUUUUAGCGUUUUUAGUAAGUUUGCAAGUAUCAGAUGAACAAUAGUCUAAAAUAGCAUUUGAGGGCUGGGGUUGUGGCUCAGUGGUAGCGCACUUGCCUGGCAUGCAUGAGGCAAUGGGUUCGAUUCUCAGCACCAUCUACAAAUAAAUAAAAUAAAGAUCCAUCAAUAACUUUAAAUAAAUAAAUAAAAUAGCAUUUGAAAGGAAUUGAGGGCAACUGGCGAGAUUAUAAAGAAAAAGGAGUUUAUGGACUUGGUCAGGUCAUAUAAAAUAUUAAUUAUUAACUGGAAAAAUCAAUUAUCCAAGCAGUGUCAUUUUCAUCUAGUCUCUGAGGCAUUAUCUAGUUCAUUAAUUGGACUGAACUAGUACAGUGAAUAUCUGUCCUUUUCUCUUAUGCUACCUGAUGUUUUAUAAACAUAAGUUACUACCAGGAAGUUGGGAAUUUUUAAAAUUCGGAUAAUAACGCUAGUUUUUAAAACGUUUUUGGUGGAUAGCUUGUAAAUUUAAAUUUUUCAUGUAGUCUUGAAACAAACAAUGGCUUGUUACAUACUAUAAAUGUACCUAAAAGAAUUUCACCUGUAUAUAUGUACACAUAAAUAUAACAUAUAUCAGUACAUAACAAUCAAAAAUAAUUAAAGGAGUGAAAGAAAGACUGAGAGAAGAAAAGAGAGCAGGAGAAGGAAAGAAAAAGGGAGGGGGAAUGGGGACUUAAAUCAAAUUCCUUGUAUGUAUUAUUUUGUCAAAAAGAACCCAAAUACUAUAAUGCUCUAAAAAUAUUUCAUAUGGUCUAGAAAUGAUUUUUUUUUGUUCAGAUCAAGAAAACUGUUAAUAGAAUCAAUUUUUCAAAAAGCAUGCUUCGUCCCUAUUUUUUUGGAAGGUGGGGAUGGAGGGGGUGGAUCAGGAAUCAUACCGUCUACCACUGAGCUACAUUACCAGUCCUUUUCAAUUUUUAGACAGGGUCUGUAAAUUACUAAGAUUGGUCUUGAAAUUGUAAUUCUCCUGCUUCACUCAGCCUCCUGAGUGACUGGAAUUAUAGGUGUGUGCCACAACCAGGUCCAGCUUCCUACCUCUUAUUGUCCUGAACUCUAAUUUUGUUACCCAAAGUAUAUUUGUAAGUUAUCUAUACAAAUUGGGAGUUAAUAGGCAUGUUUGCUUUCCAUUAUUAAUGUUUGAAUUUUUAAAAAUAAAAAUUUUCUCUAUUUUCAACUUUAUGAUUUUUCCCACUGGCUGCAUUAACUCUUUGGAAAAUAUUAACAUAUUUUCUGAAUAACUUUUAAAUUACAAAGGACAGUAGUUGAAUGAAAUUUUAGAUUUGGUUACAUUUAUAACCAAAAGUUGAUUCUCUAAAAUUCUUUGUGUGAAUGUUUUUAAUUUUUGUUUGUUUGUUUUUGUUUUAACCACUGAUUAAUCUUUUAUAACAGAAUUGUAAU